UGAUAAAAAAAGGACUUUAACCUUUAUUACAGGAGCUACAAUCCUAUACCUAAUUCAGCCAUUUUACCA
rnacentral:tRNA from 1 species